rnacentral:rRNA from 1 species
GACGAACGCUGGCGGCGUGCUUAACACAUGCAAGUCUACGAGAACGAGGUAGCAAUAUCUUUAGUAAAGUGGCGCACGGGUGCGUAACACGUAAGCAAUCUACCUUUGGGUCUGGAAUAACUUCGAGAAAUCGAGGCUAAUACCGGAUAAUGCAGCGGCACCGCAUGGUGAUGUUGUUAAAGUUUGAGUAAUGCCUAUAGAUGAGCUUGCGUCUGAUUAGCUAGUUGGUAGGGUAAAGGCCCACCAAGGCAACGAUCAGUAGCUGGUCUGAGAGGAUGAUCAGCCACACUGGAACUGAGACACGGUCCAGACUCCUACGGGAGGCAGCAGUGAGGAAUAUUGGGCAAUGCCCGCAAGGGUGACCCAGCAACGCCGCGUGGAGGAUGAAGGCCGUAAGGUUGUAAACUCCUGUUAGAGGAGAAGAAUAGUGCCGAUUGGAUCGGUAUUUGACUGUGCCCUCAGAGAAAGCCCCGGCUAACUACGUGCCAGCCGCCGCGGUAAGAC